GCCCAGCACCGAAUCCUGUACCGUUCUGGUACUAGGAAAUGUGGUGUUUAGGCCGUGCUUUGUGCUGGUAUGACUCUCCUCAAGUCCACUUGAUUGUGGCUUCAGGCCCAGAGAGGGUGUAAGGCCCGUGGAGGCGAGUUGUCCGGUGCCCGGCACGUCCUUAGAGUCGGGUUGUUUGGGAAUGCAGCCCUAAGCGGGUGGUAAACUCCAUCCAAGGCUAAAUACUAGCACGAGUCCGAUAGCGAAGAAGUACCGCGAGGGAAAGUUGAAAAGAACUUUGAAGAGAGAGUUCAAGAGUACGUGAAACCGCUGAGAGGCAAACUGGUGGAGCUGAAAUGUUUCAAUGGAAUUCAGCCCUUCGCUUGGGAGAUAACACCAUUGUCAGAUCURAGACUGCGCCGGUGUCAUUCUUCUCGAGUGAUAGGUGCACUUUCUAUUGAACCGGACCACGACCAGCGAGUUGUUUUGUCUGAUAUUGCAGGAAGGUAGCGUCAACUCUCAGAUGACGUGUUAUAGACUGUGAUUCGGAGCGAGCGACGCGUUGGAUUACGGGAUGCCUGCCCUUUCGGGCUCGUACGUUGAAUCUUUCUGGGGUGUCUUUGGCUUCACUGUCUUGGCAGGGGUGUUGAAGACGCUCCAGUUAGGCUUGGCCUCUGCGAUUGGCGUCAACAGUCAGUGGUUUMGAAGUAGGCAGUCCACCUGACCCGUCUUGAAACACGGACCAAGGAGUCUAACAUGUGCGCGAGUCAUUGGGCUCUACGAAACCUAAAGGCGAAGUGAAAGUAAAGAUCCAUUUUGGUGGAUUGAGGUAGGAUCCUGGGCUACGCGCUCAGGCGCACUACCGGCCCGUCCGAUGUGUAACCACACGGGCGGCGCAAGAGCGUACACGUUGGGACCCGAAAGAUGGUGAACUAUGCUUGCGCAGGUCGAAGCCAGAGG
rnacentral:rRNA from 1 species